AGAGUUUGAUCAUGGCUCAGGACGAACGCUGGCGGCGUGCCUAAUACAUGCAAGUAGAACGCUGACUACUUUAGCUUGCUAGAGUAGAAGGAGUUGCGAACGGGUGAGUAACGCGUAGGUAACCUGCCUACUAGCGGGGGAUAACUAUUGGAAACGAUAGCUAAUACCGCAUAACAGUGUUUAACACAUGUUAGAUGCUUGAAAGAUGCAAAUGCAUCACUAGUAGAUGGACCUGCGUUGUAUUAGCUAGUUGGUGGGGUAACGGCCUACCAAGGCGACGAUACAUAGCCGACCUGAGAGGGUGAUCGGCCACACUGGGACUGAGACACGGCCCAGACUCCUACGGGAGGCAGCAGUAGGGAAUCUUCGGCAAUGGGGGCAACCCUGACCGAGCAACGCCGCGUGAGUGAAGAAGGUUUUCGGAUCGUAAAGCUCUGUUGUAAGAGAAGAACGUGUGUGAGAGUGGAAAGUUCACACAGUGACGGUAACUUACCAGAAAGGGACGGCUAACUACGUGCCAGCAGCCGUGGUAAUACGUAGGUCCCGAGCGUUGUCCGGAUUUAUUGGGCGUAAAGCGAGCGCAGGCGGUUUAAUAAGUCUGAAGUUAAAGGCAGUGGCUUAACCAUUGUUCGCUUUGGAAACUGUUAAACUUGAGUGCAGAAGGGGAGAGUGGAAUUCCAUGUGUAGCGGUGAAAUGCGUAGAUAUAUGGAGGAACACCGGUGGCGAAAGCGGCUCUCUGGUCUGUAACUGACGCUGAGGCUCGAAAGCGUGGGGAGCAAACAGGAUUAGAUACCCUGGUAGUCCACGCCGUAAACGAUGAGUGCUAGGUGUUAGGCCCUUUCCGGGGCUUAGUGCCGCAGCUAACGCAUUAAGCACUCCGCCUGGGGA
rnacentral:rRNA from 1 species